GGGUGCGACCACUAGCACUAAUGCAAUGAAUCCCAUCAGAACUUCGCUGUCAAGCGUGCUUGUGCGAGAGCAGUACUAAGAUGGGUGACCUCUUGGGCAGUAAACGUGUUGCACCCC
rfam:Citrus sinensis cultivar Ridge Pineapple sweet orange scaffold01086_contig_2, whole genome shotgun sequence.